AUGGCUGUGCCGAGGGCGCAUGCCGGUCACCGGUUGCGUUGUGUGCUGGCAGUGGUGUGUGCCUUGUGCUGGGCAUCGUCCUCUGUUAGGUUCGUGGCGGGUCAGGCCGGGCAGCUGAGCGUGGACGCCUCGCCGCAGACUGCGAGGAAGAUGCCUGACAAGAUGUUCGGCAUCUUUUUUGAGGAGAUCAACCAUGCUGGUGCUGGUGGGUUGUGGGCAGAGCUUGUGAGCAACAGAGGUUUUGAGGCCGGUGGGCCUAAUACACCAUCAAACAUCGAACCAUGGUUCAUAAUUGGAAAUGAAUCAAGCAUCAUCGUGGGAACCGAUCGGACAUCUUGUUUCGAACGUAACCCGGUCGCACUCCGAAUGGAAGUUCUUUGUGGUUCUAAAGGAACUAAUGUCUGUCCAUCCGGAGGCGUUGGGGUCUACAAUCCUGGUUACUGGGGCAUGAACAUUGAAAGAAGGAAGGGUUAUAAGGUGAGCCUGCACAUUAGGUCUUCAGAUGCAGUUUCCUUGACCAUUUCUUUGACAAGCUCUGACGGUCUGCACAAACUCGCUUCUCGCACCAUCACGGGCGGCAAGAAACAAUUCACCAACUGGACAAAGAUACAGUUUCGUUUGUAUUCCAGCCAAAACAACACUAAUUCAAGGCUUCAAAUUACAACCACUAAAACUGGAGUGGUCUGGCUCGAUCAAGUGUCGGUUAUGCCAUCGGACACUUACAUGGGACAUGGUUUUCGGAAGGAUCUUGCUUCCAUGUUGGCCAAUUUAAAGCCCCAGUUUCUCAAGUUUCCAGGCGGUAACUAUGCCAUGGGACAAUAUCUAAGAAAUGCGUUUCAUUGGGGCGAAACUGUGGGUCCAUGGGAGGAAAGACCUGGCCAUGUCAAUGAUGCCUGGGGAUACUGGACUGACGACGGACUCGGAUUCUUUGAGUUCCUUCAGUUAGCUGAAGACCUUGGUGCUUCCCCUGUUUGGGUGGUGAAUGAUGGAGCAAGCAUUAACGAAGAAGUUCCUACUGCAAUAAUUGCAUCUCUGGUGAAGUAUUGCUACCACCUUCUUGGCCUUCCCUGCAUUUUCAUGCUUGUAGUAUUCCAGGAUGUUGUUGAUGGCAUCGAGUUCGCAAGGGGAGGGGUCAACACUACAUGGGGUUCAGUUCGUGCGGCAAUGGGACAUCAACAACCUUUUAAGCUUGAUUAUGUUUCAAUAGGGAAUCAAGAAUGCUGGAUGCUCUACUACAGAGGGAAUUACCAAAAGUUCUAUUCUGCGAUUAAAGCUGCAUACCCUGACAUCAACAUUAUAUCAAGCUGUGAUAAGUCAACUAUUUCGGCAUCCAACCCUGCCGAUCUGUAUGAUGUUCAUGUCUAUGCAUCUUCUGCUAAUAUGUUUUCCAGAACCAGUAUGUUUGACAACACACCACGCAGCGGACCGAAGGCCAUUGUUAGCGAGUACGCCGUGACUGGAAACGACGCUGGCAAAGGAACACUGGUAGCAGCACUUGCAGAAGCUGCAUUUCUCGUUGGAUUAGAGAAGAACAGUGAUGUGGUCGAGAUGGCAAGCUGCGCACCGCUGUUUGUAAAUGACAACGAUCGCAAGUGGAGCCCAGAUGCCAUUGUGUUCAACUCAUGGCAGCACUACGGAUGCCCAAACUACUGGAUGCUACACUUCUUCAAGGACUCGAGCGGCGCCACCUUUCACCCCACAACCAUGCAAGUCUCCAACUACGAUCAGAUGGUUGCAUCUGCCAUUACGUGGCAGAGUCCUAAAGACAAGAGCACUUACCUGAAAAUAAAGGUCGUGAACUUCGGCAGCAAAGCCGUGGAUCUCAACAUAACGGUGACGGGUCUGGAGAGCGGCAUCAAGAGCUCCGGCUCGAAGAAGACGGUGCUAACAUCCGGCGCGCCACUCGACGAGAACUCCUUCGAACAGCCAGAAAAGGUGGCGCCGGUGUUGAGCCCGGUGGCCGACGCCAAGCAGCAGAUGGGCGUGUCAGUGAGCCCUUACUCCCUCACAUCGUUCGAUCUCCUGCUGGAGCCCAGCAAGCACUCGGCAAUAUGA
rnacentral:rRNA from 1 species